CUUUUUUAUCAUAUUUUUCCAAUAGUUAGUAUUAGUGGACGAGCUUCAGAUGAAAGUGCGGCUUGUCAGGGGAUUUGCUGUUAUCAGAAGUAACAAAUGUCCGUCUGGGAUUUGCUGAUAUCAGAGUUAACAAAGUGUGGCCAAUUGACCAUUUUUCUAGGUUUAUAUCUGUGACAACUUUUCAAAGCUAUCAUUUGUGUGACUUAUAAAGCAUUAAACGCUCAUAAUUUUCAUAGAUAUGUGUUUAUAGGUAAAUAUUAUUAUAUGCUGUUGCAGAUGUCAUAUCCAUUUCAGCUGGUACAAAUGAGUUCAAAGGAACCACGAUUGCUGUAAUAUUGAAAAAGUUGGUUCUGAUUGUGUUUCUUCUAUUGAAUCCUCAUCGUCCUUUAAGACUACUGUUGAUGUCAAAGGAUGGAGGUUAAGACUUAUCGGAAGCUGCACUUCUUCUUUCUUUAGUGUCUGCUUUUGAUGCGAGGAGAUUGACAAAUUACAUCCUCUUACAGUUUCACAACUCCUGAGGCAUUAGUUGUUAAAUUUGACAAGGCAAAGAAAUCGUACCUUUGUUGGAGAAAGCCACCCCACUGGGAGCCCCUUCUCAUUUUUGCUGAGGAUGUUACUGUGUCUAGGAGCUGAAUUUGGAGCCAAACAGCUUGGCUUACUUAUUGAGAAUGUAUCAGUCAAGCAACUGGGGAGAGCAAGGAGAUCACAAACUUACAGAAGGCUACUACCUUUAUUACUGAUGCAGCAUCCAAGAAUCUGAUCCAGACUGAAUUGAUUCAUCAAUUUUUGGCACCGUGGCACCUGCAGCGAUGAUUGGUCACAAUGCUACGGUUGACAAGUUGGAGUCGUUGACCCAGCUAAAGUGACAAGGAAGAGCCCCACAAAAUUCUGCAUCUGCAGCUGGAAUGGUCUUAGACACAGUAGGGAAAGAAGGUGUUCGGGUAUACAAGGAAGUGCCAAAGGGCAAGAUUUAGGCGUUCAAAAAUAUAUAUGUGAUGCUAUCAUCAACUCUGUAAAGAAUGGACUGUGGAUGAAUCGAUGAGUCGGACGCUGCUGCAUGAAGGCUAAUUAUUUUGUUUGACUUACACGAUUGAGUAACCACAGGUAUAUAAUAUACUUGGUAUUAUUUUAUAUGAGGUUUGUAGGUGUGCGGAGGGAAUGACUUGGAUCGCCACUCCACAUCACUUGCUCUCUCAUGUGUGUUUAUCCCCUGGAUGAAGUUUCAUUCUAUUUCUGUUG